UUGCCCAAUCUGGCCCCAGACCGCAGCCGCCAACUUCACGUUUCUCAGUAUAGAGCUCCCAAUAACCAGAGUUGGCUUCUCAGCGGGUGUAUCACUGAGUGGGGAGAAACUGUUAGAUAGGCGAAGAUAGGCUCCGGUUUAGCGUGACGUCGCCAUGUGCGCUCCCCGGUUUAGAGCUAUCGCUACGCUUCCUUCGGACAGUCACCCACUCGCCCGGCUGCUCAGGGCCUGCCGGGGGACUGCUAACAGAAGCUACAGAACCUACAGUAUGGU